GGGGGGGUGGGGCCCUUUAUCCUUCUUCGUUGCAGAUGCGCUGGAUCUCACAUGGCGAUAUCAACUCUUUAUUUUUUAUAUUUGCCUUGAAUUUAAGAUUCGAAUCUGAAACAAUUCCGGUUCCCGAACCAAUCACGAAAGCUCUCCGUCUCUUCAAAGUACAGCGAAUUGCCUAUCCUCGGCCACAAUCGCCCUCUGCAAAUCGCCUAAACCCACAUUAGCACAUGUAAACACCAACCUUUCCGUCAAUCGACACUGAUCAUUCACCACCGCGUUCCGCACACUGCUCCAUCUACACGCGCCGUCGCUAAACUCGCAGAAGACCACCUCUUCUGGCGCUGAUGUCUUGCUUAUAUACACAAAAUCGCCCAUCACAUUGAUAACUGCCGAUGACAUGCUACAAAAGUCACCUCUAAGCUUUUCCACUAGCUGCUUAGGCAUUUCACCAAUCUCUCUGCAGAACUCAAACGACGAGCCGUUUAGCUCCCACAAUUUGACGCUGGUAACUUCUUCCCCAUGAUCGUCUCCGAUCAGACAGAUCAAAAUCAGAUGGUCGUUAGCGAAUCCGAUGGCGGAGCUGCACACAUUUCCAUGAGGACGCAGACUGUAAGGUCCGUACCAGGACUUGGUUUCUGGAUCGAAGCAGUAAGAUACACCAGUACUCUUCUCUGCCACAUACAUUUUGUUACCUGAGACUGCAGUGGAGAGCCACGUGGAGGCGGCGGAAUCCUUGAAGUGCGCGGGCAAGGACUCGCAUGUGUCCCACGUGCGAGUCUUGAGGUCGUACAUUUCCACAGCCAGAGGAUCAUCCUCGAAAUCGCAAGCACCGCCAGCGACGAUUACACGGUGGCCAACGACGGCGACGAUGGGGUCCGUUCUCCAGACGAGUGGAGAGUCAACAUUGUGCCACGUGAGAUGCAAGGGGUCAAAAGAGAAGGAAAAUUUGGAGGGUGAUAACAUGUAGAGGAGCGUGGAAUGAGAAGAUCGAAGGGCUGAGAUGUAUUUGAUGGGGGGAUGGUGGAUCUGGAGCCAGACGCGCGAGCGAGGAUCGUAAGCGUACGCGGUUGUGGAGUAAGGAGACCUGGUGGCCUGACAGUGGAGAAGAAGCCAGGGUUUGAUUUUGUUGAAGUGACGAAGAGAAGUUGAAACGGCGCGUUUCCAGGACUUGGAGACAUGGGAAGCAGCGACAAGGUCGAUGAGAGGCACGUGAGUGAAAACAGACUCUAAGAUGUCUCCAUGAUAUGAGGUUGCUUCUUCUUUUUCACCUUGUGCUGUUGUUUCUUCAUCCUUGCUCUGUUUUGCCAUUUUAGAUUUUUUCUUUCUUUCUUGUUGUUAAUGAAAGAGAAGGCGUUGUAGAUGUUUUUAUACAGGAUUUUGGGGUAUGGUAUGAAGUAAAAAAUUUCUGAGUCAAAAAAAAGAAGAAGCAACCUCAUAUCAUGGA
rnacentral:misc_RNA from 1 species